GUAACCUAUGAGCAGCAAGGUUUUACCUUAGGCCUAACUCUAAGUCUAAAGUCUGGAUGAAUGAUAGGAAUAUAUAAGGAUGCUCCAGGAGCGAAAUGAAGGUGACAGUUGGACGACAUGACUAUAUUUUAAGGAAUAUAAGAUGGAUGAGGAAUGGCAAGCUCUCAGUAUAAAGGGACUCAGUUAACCUGUGCUGCAGUCGGGGAGGCAGUGCUUGACUUGUGUGCUGAUUCUGUGGAUGGCAGUUUCACUGGUUCAUCGCGGGCAAUCAACUGACUUUCACGUGAUGAUUUUUCCAUACAGCAUGUAGAUGAUGACUGAGC